CACGUAGGGGGCAAGCGUUGUCCGGAUUUAUUGGGCGUAAAGAGCUCGUAGGUGGCUGAGUAAGUCGGAUGUUAAAUCCCCAGGCUCAACCUGGGACACCACCCGAUACUGCUCUGGCUAGAGUCCGGUAGGGGAGCGUGGAAUUCCCGGUGUAGCAGUGAAAUGCGUAGAGAUCGGGAGGAACAUCAGUUGCGAAGGCGGCUCUCUGGACCAGCACUGACACUGAGGCACGAAAGCGUGGGGAGCAAACAGGGA
rnacentral:rRNA from 1 species